GACGAACGCUGGCGGCGUGCUUAACACAUGCAAGUCGAACGGGCCUGUCUUCUUUUUUGGGGGGUGGGUUGAGUGGCGAACGGGUGAGUAUCACGUGAGUAACCUGCCCUUCGGUCCUGGAUAACCGCUUGAAAGGGCGGCUAAUACGGGGUGGUCCGGUUGGUCCGCAUGGGCUGGUCGGGAUAGAUUCACUGUUUUUGGUGUUUCGGCGGGGGAUGGGCUCGCGGCCUAUCAGCUUGUUGGUGGGGUGAUGGCCUACCAAGGCGGUGACGGGUAGCCGGCCUGAGAGGGGGGGCGGCCACACUGGGACUGAGAUACGGCCCAGACUCCUGCGGGAGGCAGCAGUGGGGGGUAGUGCACAAUGGGCGGAAGCCUGAUGCAGCGACGUCGCGUGAGGGAUGGAGGCCUUCGGGUUGUGAACCUCUGUUUCCGGUGGUGAAGGCCCUGUCCGUGUGGUGGGGUUGACGGUAGCCGGGGAUGAAGCGCCGGCUAACUACGUG
rnacentral:rRNA from 1 species